AACAAAUCGGGGGACUAAACUGUAAUAAACUGAAAAUGGAGGGGUAAAGAGAAAUUAUCCAUGAACUGAAACGCAGAGAAGAAGUUUGGAUAACAUUGGAGUUUGCAGGAAUCACCGGAGGGAUACAGAAAGCUAUGCUGACGAUUCUAUCAAACCCUCUCUCUCCGAAGCUUACAGUUCUAUGUGAAAGCCUCGGGAUCUUGACAUGUCGGAGUAAAAGACCGACGUGUUGUUCGUUGAGUGAAGAACCAAAGUACCAAAGGAUUCAACGAUGAUAUCUUCCCGAACGACUCUUUAGCAUCCCCGAAAAAGUCUAUAUUAUAAUAUGCAGAAUAUAAUAUAGAGAUAGAAGCAAGACGCAUUCGACUAGAGAGAAAGAAAGAGAGAGAAGGUAGAUUCCACCUCGGGUCCGGCGAGCGGCCGCGCGUGAGCGUGCCUGUCACCGCCGGAGCCCUUCGUUUUCUCAGCAUGUCUCACGGCUCUCGAUCUCUUCACCAUCUCCUCCUUUAUUCCGCCUUGUCUGAGUUCUGGAUAGCCCCUUUCUGUGGUGGCUUCUCAUCUGGUGGGAAGACGCGGUUCUUUGGUUUCGGCGUGGUGAAGAGAGUCGUUUCUGGUCACGGUUUUUUCGGGAGGUGGAGGCUCUGUUAGCUCCGCCGACGCCGGCUCUUGUCUCCGAGAGGUGGAAGCUUUGUUAGCUUCGCCAUCUUCGGAUCUAGCUUCCGGAAGAUGAAGACUUCCACAGUCUUAUCUCUCCGGUUUAUGGUGGUUCGUGGUGCCCUGUCGGUUAGAGUUAUGGUUCUGGUUCUGUAGCGAGAGUGGUUAGGGUUCCUCUCGUGCGACGGUGAUGACUUUCAAGGGAAGAAAGUGAUGUUUCUCGGGUCGAUUGUCCAGCGUGUCAAGUGGUGCAAAGUCGGAGAAGAUCUCGACGGUUUCGAUGGAUCUCUAUCCGGCAUGAAGACAUAGCGAUGAGGAACGGGUUGGUUUUGUUGGAGGCUCUGUUGGCUCUUGAGCUCCGACAGAUCUCGGGUCUUGAUGGUGAUGCGCCGAGGGCGUGGUGACGGCGACGGAGACGGUCGAGUUGAGGCGGAUGGCGACGCGUGUCGCAUGUAAAGGGCAGAUCACCCCACGUGGCAUGCCUCCUCGAUUUGGGCUCUGUCGGGUUUGGUGUUUUGUUUGGGUGGGCUGCGGGCCCGUUUAUUUUAUUUGUGUAGCCCGGUAAUCUUUGGGUUUUAGCUUGUAUCAUGUUGGACUUCGGCCUUUUAUCUAAUGUAAAUCUACUUGACGGGAAAAAAAGAUAGAAGCAAGACGCAGAAAAAAAAAACACACAAGAUAUAAUAUUUUUGUUGUACGGUAAUAUUCGUAUAAUCAUUGAAAAUUGGUCGUUUCAAUAUUUAUUUUUUACGGUUGAAUCAGUACAUUAGAUUUUAAACCGAAAAAUAUAUGGAAUAGGACCAAUAUAAUACAACAAAGAUAAUCGAUGUUCAUAAUACGAAAAAAUUUGAAGAUUGCAAGAAAACUAAUAGAGUUUUUACUCUAUUAAUCAAGAUUUCUCAAAGAGAAUCGUCUUCUCAAGUUAUUCUCUGUGUUCUAACGUUUUAUGUAUCAUUUUAUCUAAUAUUGUUUGUUGUAUUUUGUAUUUGUAUAAUUUGUUUAUAAUCUAAUAAAUAAAUUUAUAU